GAUGAACGCUGGCGGCGUGCCUAAUACAUGCAAGUCGAACGAAGAUCUAGCUUGCUAGAUCUUAGUGGCGAACGGGUGAGUAAUACAUAAAUAAUCUGCCCAUAUGACUGGGAUAACUAUUGGAAACGAUAGCUAAUACCGGAUAGGUUGAUCGGAGGCAUCUCUGAUGAAUUAAAGUAGGAUUUCUACACAAAUGGAUGAGUUUAUGGCGCAUUAGUUAGUUGGUGGGGUAACGGCCUACCAAGACGAUGAUGCGUAGCCGACCUGAGAGGGUGACCGGCCCCACUGGGACUGAGACACGGCCCAGACUCCUACGGGAGGCAGCAGUAGGGAAUUUUCGGCAAUGGGCGCAAGCCUGACCGAGCAACGCCGCGUGAGUGAUUAAGGCCUUCGGGUUGUAAAGCUCUGUUGUAAGGGAAGAACAUUCAGGAUAGGAAAUGAUCUUGAACUGACGGUACCUUACCAGAAAGCCACGGCUAACUACGUGCCAGCAGCCGCCGUAAUAC
rnacentral:rRNA from 1 species